GAGUUUGAUCCUGGCUCAGGAUGAACGCUAGCUACAGGCUUAACACAUGCAAGUCGAGGGGCAGCAUGGUCUUAGCUUGCUAAGGCCGAUGGCGACCGGCGCACGGGUGAGUAACGCGUAUCCAACCUGCCGUCCAGUAGGGGACAGCCCGUAGAAAUGCGGAUUAAUACCCUAUGUUCUCCGAGGAUGACAUCAGAUUCGGAGUAAAGAUUCAUCGCUGGACGAUGGGGAUGCGUCUGAUUAGGCAGCAGGCGGGGCAACGGCCCACCUGGCCAACGAUCAGUAGGGGUUCUGAGAGGAAGGUCCCCCACAUUGGAACUGAGACACGGUCCAAACUCCUACGGGAGGCAGCAGUGAGGAAUAUUGGUCAAUGGGCGCGAGCCUGAACCAGCCAAGUAGCGUGAGGGAAGACUGCCCUACGGGUUGUAAACCUCUUUUGUUCGGGAAUAAAGUGCGGCACGCGUGCCGUUUUGUAUGUACCGUUCGAAUAAGGACCGGCUAAUUCCGUGCCAGCAGCCGCGGUAAUACGGAAGGUCCAGGCGUUAUCCGGAUUUAUUGGGUUUAAAGGGAGCGCAGGCGGCCCGUUAAGCGUGACGUGAAAUGUAGUUGCUCAACAUCUGCACUGCGUCGCGAACUGGUGGGCUUGAGUUCACGGUAGGAAGGCGGAAUUCGUGGUGUAGCGGUGAAAUGCUUUGAUAUCACGAAGAACUCCGAUUGCGAAGGCAGCCCACAAGGCCUUUACUGACGCUAAAGCUCGAAGGUGCGGGUAUCGAACAGGAUUAGAUACCCUGGUAGUCCGCACGGUAAACGAUGGA
rnacentral:rRNA from 1 species